GUGGGGAAUUUUGGACAAUGGGCGAAAGCCUGAUCCAGCAAUGCCGCGUGCAGGAUGAAGGCCUUCGGGUUGUAAACUGCUUUUGUACGGAACGAAAAGCUUCGGGUUAAUACCCUGGAGCCAUGACGGUACCGUAAGAAUAAGCACCGGCUAACUACGUGCCAGCAGCCGCGGUAAUACGUAGGGUGCAAGCGUUAAUCGGAAUUACUGGGCGUAAAGCGUGCGCAGGCGGUUUUGUAAGACAGAGGUGAAAUCCCCGGGCUCAACCUGGGAACUGCAUUUGUGACUGUAUAGCUAGAGUACGGCAGAGGGGGAUGGAAUUCCGCGUGUAGCAGUGAAAUGCGUAGAUAUGUGGAGGAACACCGAUGGCGAAGGCAAUCCCCUGGGCCUGUACUGACGCUCAUGCACGAAAGCGUGGGGAGCAAACAGGAUUAGAAACCCCUGUAGUCC
rnacentral:rRNA from 1 species